GGGUUGUGAGGUUAAGCGACUAAGCGUACACGGUGGAUGCCCUGGCAGUCAGAGGCGAUGAAGGACGUGCUAAUCUGCGAUAAGCGUCGGUAAGGUGAUAUGAACCGUUAUAACCGGCGAUUUCCGAAUGGGGAAACCCAGUGUGAUUCGUCACACUAUCAUUAACUGAAUCCAUAGGUUAAUGAGGCGAACCGGGGGAACUGAAACAUCUAAGUACCCCGAGGAAAAGAAAUCAACCGAGAUUCCCCCAGUAGCGGCGAGCGAACGGGGAGCAGCCCAGAGCCUGAAUCAGUGUGUGUGUUAGUGGAAGCGUCUGGAAAGGCGCGCGAUACAGGGUGACAGCCCCGUACACAAAAAUGCACAUGCUGUGAGCUCGAUGAGUAGGGCGGGACACGUGGUAUCCUGUCUGAAUAUGGGGGGACCAUCCUCCAAGGCUAAAUACUCCUGACUGACCGAUAGUGAACCAGUACCGUGAGGGAAAGGCGAAAAGAACCCCGGCGAGGGGAGUGAAAAAGAACCUGAAACCGUGUACGUACAAGCAGUGGGAGCACGCUUAGGCGUGUGACUGCGUACCUUUUGUAUAAUGGGUCAGCGACUUAUAUUCUGUAGCAAGGUUAACCGAAUAGGGGAGCCGAAGGGAAACCGAGUCUUAACUGGGCGUUAAGUUGCAGGGUAUAGACCCGAAACCCGGUGAUCUAGCCAUGGGCAGGUUGAAGGUUGGGUAACACUAACUGGAGGASCGAACCGACUAAUGUUGAAAAAUUAGCGGAUGACUUGUGGCUGGGGGKGAAAGGCCAAUCAAACCGGGAGAUAGCUGGUUCUCCCCGAAAGCUAUUUAGGUAGCGCCUCGUGAAUUCAUCUCCGGGGGUAGAGCACUGUUUCGGCAAGGGGGUCAUCCCGACUUACCAACCCGAUGCAAACUGCGAAUACCGGAGAAUGUUAUCACGGGAGACACACGGCGGGUGCUAACGUCCGUCGUGAAGAGGGAAACAACCCAGACCGCCAGCUAAGGUCCCAAAGUCAUGGUUAAGUGGGAAACGAUGUGGGAAGGCCCAGACAGCCAGGAUGUUGGCUUAGAAGCAGCCAUCAUUUAAAGAAAGCGUAAUAGCUCACUGGUCGAGUCGGCCUGCGCGGAAGAUGUAACGGGGCUAAACCAUGCACCGAAGCUGCGGCAGCGACGCUGAUGCGUUGUUGGGUAGGGGAGCGUUCUGUAAGCCUGUGAAGGUGUGCUGUGAGGCAUGCUGGAGGUAUCAGAAGUGCGAAUGCUGACAUAAGUAACGAUAAAGCGGGUGAAAAGCCCGCUCGCCGGAAGACCAAGGGUUCCUGUCCAACGUUAAUCGGGGCAGGGUGAGUCGACCCCUAAGGCGAGGCCGAAAGGCGUAGUCGAUGGGAAACAGGUUAAUAUUCCUGUACUUGGUGUUACUGCGAAGGGGGGACGGAGAAGGCUAUGUUGGCCGGGCGACGGUUGUCCCGGUUUAAGCGUGUAGGCUGGUUUUCCAGGCAAAUCCGGAAAAUCAAGGCUGAGGCGUGAUGACGAGGCACUACGGUGCUGAAGCAACAAAUGCCCUGCUUCCAGGAAAAGCCUCUAAGCAUCAGGUAACAUCAAAUCGUACCCCAAACCGACACAGGUGGUCAGGUAGAGAAUACCAAGGCGCUUGAGAGAACUCGGGUGAAGGAACUAGGCAAAAUGGUGCCGUAACUUCGGGAGAAGGCACGCUGAUAUGUAGGUGAAGUCCCUCGCGGAUGGAGCUGAAAUCAGUCGAAGAUACCAGCUGGCUGCAACUGUUUAUUAAAAACACAGCACUGUGCAAACACGAAAGUGGACGUAUACGGUGUGACGCCUGCCCGGUGCCGGAAGGUUAAUUGAUGGGGUCAGCGCAAGCGAAGCUCUUGAUCGAAGCCCCGGUAAACGGCGGCCGUAACUAUAACGGUCCUAAGGUAGCGAAAUUCCUUGUCGGGUAAGUUCCGACCUGCACGAAUGGCGUAAUGAUGGCCAGGCUGUCUCCACCCGAGACUCAGUGAAAUUGAACUCGCUGUGAAGAUGCAGUGUACCCGCGGCAAGACGGAAAGACCCCGUGAACCUUUACUAUAGCUUGACACUGAACAUUGAGCCUUGAUGUGUAGGAUAGGUGGGAGGCUUUGAAGUGUGGACGCCAGUCUGCAUGGAGCCGGCCUUGAAAUACCACCCUUUAAUGUUUGAUGUUCUAACGUUGACCCGUGAUCCGGGUUGCGGACAGUGUCUGGUGGGUAGUUUGACUGGGGCGGUCUCCUCCUAAAGAGUAACGGAGGAGCACGAAGGUUGGCUAAUCCUGGUCGGACAUCAGGAGGUUAGUGCAAUGGCAUAAGCCAGCUUGACUGCGAGCGUGACGGCGCGAGCAGGUGCGAAAGCAGGUCAUAGUGAUCCGGUGGUUCUGAAUGGAAGGGCCAUCGCUCAACGGAUAAAAGGUACUCCGGGGAUAACAGGCUGAUACCGCCCAAGAGUUCAUAUCGACGGCGGUGUUUGGCACCUCGAUGUCGGCUCAUCACAUCCUGGGGCUGAAGUAGGUCCCAAGGGUAUGGCUGUUCGCCAUUUAAAGUGGUACGCGAGCUGGGUUUAGAACGUCGUGAGACAGUUCGGUCCCUAUCUGCCGUGGGCGCUGGAGAACUGAGGGGGGCUGCUCCUAGUACGAGAGGACCGGAGUGGACGCAUCACUGGUGUUCGGGUUGUCAUGCCAAUGGCACUGCCCGGUAGCUAAAUGCGGAAGAGAUAAGUGCUGAAAGCAUCUAAGCACGAAACUUGCCCCGAGAUGAGUUCUCCCUGACUCCUUGAGAGUCCUGAAGGAACGUUGAAGACGACGACGUUGAUAGGCCGGGUGUGUAAGCGCAGCGAUGCGUUGAGCUAACCGGUACUAAUGAACCGUGAGGCUUAACCUUACAACGCCGAAGCUGUU
rnacentral:rRNA from 1 species